rnacentral:rRNA from 1 species
AACGAACGCUGGCGGCAUGCCUAACACAUGCAAGUCGAACGAGACCUUCGGGUCUAGUGGCGCACGGGUGCGUAACGCGUGGGAACCUGCCCUUAGGUUCGGAAUAACUCCCCGAAAGGGGUGCUAAUACCGGAUAAUGUCUUCGGACCAAAGAUUUAUCGCCUUUGGAUGGGCCCGCGUUGGAUUAGCUAGUUGGUAGGGUAAAAGCCUACCAAGGCGACGAUCCAUAGCUGGUCUGAGAGGAUGAUCAGCCAAACUGGGACUGAGACACGGCCCAGACUCCUACGGGAGGCAGCAGUGGGGAAUAUUGGACAAUGGGCGAAAGCCUGAUCCAGCAAUGCCGCGUGAGUGAUGAAGGCCUUAGGGUUGUAAAGCUCUUUUACCCGGGAUGAUAAUGACAGUACCGGGAGAAUAAGCGCCGGCUAACUCCGUG